rnacentral:misc_RNA from 1 species
CAGUUAUAGAGAUCGGCCGAGGA